rnacentral:rRNA from 1 species
UCGGGAAUUUUGGACAAUGGGGGCAACCCUGAUCCAGCCAUGCCGCGUGAAGGAUGAAGUAUUUCGGUAUGUAAACUUCGAAAGAAUAGGAAGAAUAAAUGACGGUACUAUUUAUAAGGUCCGGCUAACUACGUGCCAGCAGCCGCGGUAAUACGUAGGGACCAAGCGUUGUUCGGAUUUACUGGGCGUAAAGGGCGCGUAGGCGGCAUGACAAGUCACUUGUGAAAUCUCUGGGCUUAACCCAGAACGGCCAAGUGAUACUGUCGCGCUAGAGUGCAGAAGGGGCAAUCGGAAUUCUUGGUGUAGCGGUGAAAUGCGUAGAUAUCAAGAGGAACACCUGAGGUGAAGACGGGUUGCUGGGCUGACACUGACGCUGAGGCGCGAAAGCCAGGGGAGCAAACGGGAUUAGAUACCCCCGUAGUCCCUGAGCGGGCUGGCAAGGCGCAU